UAGGGAAUCUUCGGCAAUGGACGAAAGUCUGACCGAGCAACGCCGCGUGAGUGAAGAAGGUUUUCGGAUCGUAAAACUCUGUUGGUAGAGAAGAACGUUGGUGAGAGUGGAAAGCUCAUCAAGUGACGGUAGCUACCCAGAAAGGGACGGCUAACUACGUGCCAG
rnacentral:rRNA from 1 species